GUGUGCCGGGGGUCACGGGUUGCAUGCAUAGACGUUUUCAAGAAAUAUUCGUGACCUCCUAGCCAACAAGCGGCGCCCUGAAGGAUUAGUCUCUGGGGAAAGCGGGGCACGAGUGUCCGCAGAAAGGGGAGGAGGGCUUCUCGUCCUCCCGGGCAGUGACAGACGCUUUGAAAGUUGGCCGCGGAUCUCUGUUCUUGGCCAACCCUGCCCCGCGAGGUUGCCAGGCAUCCGAGCCCGCGCUCCCUCACCUCUAAGUGACCGCGGUCUACUCUGGGCGCGGAACAGCCGGUUCGGCCACCUCGGGGCCUGCACCCAGCGUGGCUGGUAGGCGCCCGCGGCGGGUCCCCAAGCCUGCACCUCCCCGUGCGCUUCCCGCGCGCCCACCCUCCGUGAGUGGCCCGGGGACCCUCCCCCCCCCCUCCCCCGCGAUUUUGCCGGGUCUCGGACCACCGGCUUUCUGCCGCCUGACGGACUGCAUCAUGGCCGCUGAACAAGACUGGAGAACUACACCGACCAGGAUCUCUUCAACCCAUGCCCACAGUCAUUAAAGUUGACCUUCAGAAUUGCCCAGCAAUCUCAGGACCUGCUGGAAACUGUUCACAUCCCACUGACUGAUCCCAUCUUUUCAGGGCUCAGCUGCAUUUCCCUCUGGCUAGGAUGCCCAUCAUCUCUGCCUUUUUCCUCUCGUUGAACUCCUAGCCAUCCUUCAAGACCCAACUCAAACAUCCCCUCCCGCAGGUAGCCUUCUGUGAUUGCUUCAGUGCUUGCAGACUGAUUGCUCCUUUGUGCCACCAACGUACUUUGUAAUGCAAUCUCCAUUUUAACGGAUCUGUGAAUUUUAUUAACUUAUUUUUCACAUUAAACAAUGAAUUCUUGCCCCUCUUGUUUUAUUUUCUCUUAACACUUGCCAUAGUGUCUGAAAUUAAACAAAUACUUGUUGAAAAUGACAAUGAUGUUGAUGCAUUCAACACUAUGUAAUAAUGCUGGUGCAGUUCUUGCAUUAUUCUGACAUGUCAUAUAAACCACCUCAAAGUUUUCUAAACAUCCCCAGGUGGCAAAAGGCAAUGUGAGCUACUAGGGCUAAAAGAGCUCUCAGUUACAAGCAAUGCAAGCUGACUCUGGCCACCUUAAAGAAGGCAAGGUACUUGGGCAGAUAUUUGUGGGGUGGGAAGAGUGGGGGUCACAGAAUCCAUAGGAACCUGGAGGACAAGGCUUGGAGGAUGCGUGGGAACCUAGAGAACUCCAGAUGCUUGGCCACAGGCCCAAGGUCAAGACCACCGACCUGAACAGAACAGCUGACACCAACUGCAGCACAAGAGGCGUCUGACCUUCAGCUGCUCGCUCCAUCUUUGUUUCACCAGCUCAUCUUCCAAAACCUGGGGAACCAAUCAUGAACUGAGCUUACAUCCUGUGCCCAGGGUCAUGGUGGAAGAGGCACGGACCUUUUUCUUAGGAGUUUUGACUGAUGAGAAAUAGAAGACAAAUGAGCAAGACGGAGAAUUCCUCCUGCUUCUCUCCACCAGCCCCUGCAGGAGGCCCCGGAGUCCUCUUCUCUGCUCGGAUAAGCCUGGCAUUCAGAUGCCUUCCAAGCCCCCCA
rnacentral:lncRNA from 1 species